rnacentral:lncRNA from 1 species
AAGGGACAUUCUUUAGCAAAAAAAUAAAAAAUUUGUUUUUCAAAAUUAAAUAUUGUUCUCUUAAGUAAAAAAAUGUUCUUCAAGACAAAUAAUGUUUCCUCGGCAUCAACAAUUAAAUGGGACAUGGAAAAAAUGUUCCCCAAAAUAAUGUUCUCUAAAAUAAUGAAAAACAGAAAAAUGUUCCCUAAAUAAUGCUUGUCAGGAAAUGUUUGCUGGUGCCAAGAAAUUUCUCUUGGAAAAUCUUCCCUAAAGUCUAAAAAAUAAAUGUUAUUUGAAUAUGUUCCCUCAAUAAUUAAAAGAAAUCCUAGAAAAAUGUUGACAUCAUGAAGUAAUCAUACACCUAAAAAAAUCCUAGAAAAAUGCCCUCUAAAAUAUUGAUAUCUAAAAUAAUGUUGCCAAAAAAAUGUUUUUUAAAUAAUGUUCUUUGGAAAAUGUUCCCUGGUUAAUAAAAAAAUGAAUAUUUAACUGGGGAACAAUAUUUAAGGGACAUUCUUCAAGGGACAUUAUUGGGGGAACAAGUAUUGCUCCGAUGAUAACUGAAUAAUGUUCAUUUUAAAUAACAUUAUUGGGGGAAACUAGUAUUAAAUAAUGUUCUCGGAAGUAUAAAAAUGUUCUUCAAGUCAUAUAAUUUUUCAUCGGCAUCAACAAUUAAAAUGGGACUUGAAAAAAAUGUUUCUUGAAUAGUGUUCUCUAAAAUAAUGAUAUACUGAAAAAUGUUCUCUAAAAAAAUGUUGCUUGGCAUCAACAAUUAAAUGAUACUUGAAAAAAUUGUUCUGUAAAAAAAUGUUCACUAGGAAUAGGGAAGAUGAAUGGCAAGAUUGGCCUCAUGUUAGAUAUAUGUCCAUUUGUAUCCUUCGCUCGAGUCCAUGAUUUCUAAUUUGUUAGAUACGAACGGUUUUGACCAAAAAAAACAUUGCUAGGAAGGAGCGAAAAAAAUAUUCUAGUCCAAACAAACUAUAGUCAUAACCCGUGUGUGCGCUUUUAUGAGAAAAAAACAUUAUGUGGGUCCAAAAACAGAUUUCCCAAUAAAUAACCCGAGCAAGUGCAUAAUGACGUUAUGAGAUCCCCUAAGAAUUCUUCUAUUACAAACAGACUGAAGUUUUCAUGAGAGUCAUGCUGUUGAUAUAUAUUCCCCAAAAAAAUGGAAGUACAAUGAGAAAAAUGAGAAAAAGGCUACUUAAAUGUAUAUUAAAGAAAUGUUUUCAUAAAAUGUUAAAAAGUUAUUUGGGAAAACUAAUGUUCCGUUGAGUCGAAAGUUUGUUCAGUGUUUCCUAGGAACGAGGUCCUAAGGAAGACCAAAAAUUGUAUCUUGUAAAACUAUGCAUCAACGUUGUUUUAUUCAUCACAAUGUGUUAACUCCUGUAAACCUAUGUUUGAUCCAGUUAUCAUAAAAAUUGAAAACAAUUAUGUGCAACAAACACAUAUAUAAAAGAAGAGGUGCUGCUCAAAAAUCAUAUAGUAAUACAGAAAACUACUGGUGAUACGAUUCCAAGAAAUGUAUUAAACUGUUGGGAAAAACAUUUAGUACAAACCGAGAGAAAAAUAUUAAAUUGUUCGGAAAAUUCUCCUCAUAAUAAUUGUAGUUUUCGGGGCGGACUUGGGAAGACUGAUUUCCACACAAGAGAAAAGAGGGGGUACUUAAAAGUUUUUCAAAUAUGAGAUAGCUGACUUUAUAACUACUUCUGCUGCAUUCAUGGGGCAAUUGGACAGAGUUCCAUUUUAGAAGCUGGAAGUGUUUCCGUUCUGCACGUAACUAACCGCGCUUUUUCCUCUUCUUGGUUGAAACAUCUUCUUGAAGUCCCUCGAAGUCAUGAACAAGAUAGAAACUGUCAGUACUAGACAUUACACACAACUCUUACAUAACAAGAUAAAACAAUUCACAUGCUGGUUAAAAAAUUGAUAGGUGCUUGCUUCUCGACAAAAUACAUCCUAACAAGUGGGUUCUAGUCCAGUUAUCUAGUGUUCCAUGUAUGUUCAAUUCCGUGAUAGUUCUAGGCACGUGUAGAAGACGUAGGGAAGAUGCCAGCGUGUCAGAAAGAAAGACAGAAAGUGGUAAACUCAAUUCAGCAGAGCUACUCUGACAUGGCACAUAAACCAGCAUAAACCAACUAAUUCAGGGAAAAUUGACCACAGUACAAUUUUCUUUGGCUUCUCCUCUGGACAAUAUUAUCAGUACAAUGUAUGCAGAAGACUGACAAUACAUGGACAAGAUUAACAGAGAACUCGAACAUUUGAUUGAACAUAGAAAUUGCAAUAUCAUCCUCCCCACAAGAGCAUUGACGACAGACAUGAAUAGUUACUACCAACCUAGAUAGACUCUUUUGCUCACUAUGGCAGACGCAGCAGACCAUCUAGAGCACUUAUUCGGCAGGAACGAUGACAGAAAAAUAAAAAGCAGUAACACCAGAUACAGUAGGCUUUGCCGGACACCAUCUCAGAGACUUCAGAUGUCUUUGGAACCGCAGAUUUCUCUCAGGCAGCGACACCUUUCUCGGCCACCUUCUCCACUCCCCAAGCACAUGAACAGACACCCUCCUACCAUCACUAUGCUGCAUUCAUACCCUGAAUCCAAAUUCUGAAGGCAACCCUCUUGUCUGGCUUCAGAUUCACCCAAAUCAGAACGAAAAAAUCGAUCCACUGCUGCCACCAAAACCUCCUACAAACCCUAGAAACGCUGGUCCGACACAAACGGGACAACAAUCGCCUCAAUCUGGCGAUACCACACACAGAGAACACGAACCAGCGUGACAAAGAACACAGCGGGGGAAUUGGGGGCAUUACCUUGAAGAUGCCGAACUUGACGGGGCUUGACGGAACCCUAGGCGCGCGGACCUUGACGGAACCCUAAAUGACCCGAGCUUGACGAAGCCUAGACGACCCCGUUCUUGAUGGAACCCUAGACGACGACGACGAGGAGGCUCUGACCACC